rnacentral:rRNA from 1 species
UUUAGCAACCAUAUCACCCUGCAACUUACAACUGGCAACCCACUGAAGCUAAGCAGGUGUGAGCCUGGUCAGUACCUGGAUGGGAGACCUCCUGGGAAAAAUAAAGGUUUCUGCUGGAA